ACACCCUCUUUCCCUACCGCC
rnacentral:miRNA from 1 species